rnacentral:rRNA from 1 species
AUUGAACGCUGGCGGCAGGCCUAACACAUGCAAGUCGAGCGGAGCGGCGGACGGGUGCGUAUUGCCUAGGACUCUGACUGGUAGUGGGGGAUAAUGUCCGGAAAUGGGAGCGAAAACCGCAUCCUAUCAGUUUAGCCUAGGUCGGAUUAGCAUGGUGGUGGGGUAAAGGCCUACCAGGGCGACGACCCGUAACUGGUAUGGGAGGAUGAUCAGUCACACUGGAACUGUGACACGGUCCAGACUCCUACGGGAGGCAGCAGUGGGGAAUAUUGGACAAUGGGCGAAAGCCUGAUCCAGCCAUGCCGCGUGUGUGAAGAAGGUCUUCGGAUUGUAAAGCACUUUAAGUUGGGAGGCGUUACCAGCAGAAUAAGCACCGGCUAACUCCGUGCCAGCAGCCGCGGUAAUAC